GUGCAAUCACGUAAAUCAGCUUCAUCAUGUGACACGGUGUUAAAAGUGGAUGACAACACAGCACCCACCAAAUGCUGCCAUUUCGACAAAAUGAGGCAAUUCUCAGCUCUUAGUCUUCUCUUCAUGCCCUUGUUCUCUGGUACAGCCACACUGCCUGCCACCAAAUCAGGAGACUGAAAUUUGCAGAAUGAAGUACAACCCAAUCUGCGGAACUGAUGGGAAAACAUACGCGAAUAUAUGCUUGCUUUGUGCAGUGAGGAAUUUUGAGAAAAACAUCAGGAUCUAAAAGUAUGGAGAAUGCUGGAGUAACAAUAAUGGCAAGUGAAGGUUUCCUGAAAACCAGGAUUUCUUUGAUUCAAUUGAUUUCAUUCUUUAAGAUGCAUUCUUCAUUUGGCAUGUGAUUAAGAAAUUAAUCAAUUUUAAUGUACUUUCUGUUGGUGGUAAGAAAUGAGAAACAAUAUACCAAGCACAGCGUAAUUAAAGAAUGUUGUUGUGUAAUCAAUAUAUUUAUAUCUGAUAUCGCAAUCUCAACUUUGCUCUUUAUCACUGUUACUUACAUGCAAUUUCAUUGGAUUAUAUUGAAAGCUAUGAAAUUUGAAUUUAUCCUUAAUAUGAGAUCAUCUACAAUGGGAAAAAGGGACAACGCUCUAAAACCUUGUGAUUUCAC